AGGCGCCGGUUAUAGUCCUGAUGGACAAGGACUGUAAAGGCGAGAGAUCGGAAAUUCGCCAAUGGUUUGAGGACAGCCGCUUUUCUACUUGUGAGGCCUCGAAUAUUUUUGAAGCCCUCGAGCAGCUUUCCGAUUUUACACUUCGCAACAGGCCGGAUGUCGUACUUCUUGAUGUUGAUUGCUGUGAGGAUGAUCUGCCGAUAGUUCAAAACGUCGCGGGCCUUCCGACGAUGGCGAUAACCUGGAACAAGGAACAUAUGCCGAAGGGCAAGGGCCAAGAUUUUCACUCAAAUAUGGGCCAGGUCGCGGU
rnacentral:misc_RNA from 1 species